rnacentral:lncRNA from 1 species
UCUCGAUGCUUUACCCGAGUCGUCUCUUCACAUUCAUUACCAGUUCCAAAACCUAACUUUUCGAUUCGUUUCCCCCAUUAGAGAUCGAGAAUCGUGACAAUGACUCUACAAAAAGGGCAAACCGUGUUAGAUGUGACCACAAACCUGGAAUCCUUAAAGAGAAUCGACGAUUGUUUCCCAUCUCCACCAUCUGCAUCAUCGAGAAUUCAAU